rnacentral:rRNA from 1 species
AUUGAACGCUGGCGGCAGGCCUAACACAUGCAAGUCGAACGCGAAAGUCCUUCGGAUGAGUAGAGUGGCGGACGGGUGAGUAACGCGUGGGAAUCUGCCCUGUAGUGGGGGAGUAACGUUCCGAAAGGGACGCUAAUACCGCAUACGCCCCAAGGGGGAAAGCGGGGGAGUCUUCGGACCUCGUGCUACAGGAUGAGCUUGCGUCGGAUUAGCUAGUUGGUGGGGUAAAGGCCUACCAAGGCGACGAUCCGUAGCUGGUCUGAGAGGAUGAUCAGCCACACCGGGACUGAGACACGGCCCGGACUCCUACGGGAGGCAGCAGUGGGGAAUAUUGCGCAAUGGGGGCAACCCUGACGCAGCCAUGCCGCGUGUGUGAAGAAGGCCUCGGUUG